UGAUUGGUUUCCUGAUAUUCA
ensembl:piRNA 21ur-422 ncRNA